rnacentral:rRNA from 1 species
GGUUAAGUUAUAAAGGGCGCAUGGUGAAUGCCUUGGCAUCAGGAGCCGAUGAAGGACGCGAUAAGCUGCGAUAAGCUUCGGGUAGGCGCACAUAGCCAGUGAUCCGGAGAUUUCCGAAUGAGGAAACUCACAUGGGAAACCCCAUGUAUCAUAUAGUGAAUAAAUAGCUAUAUGAAGGUAGACCCAGGGAACUGAAACAUCUAAGUAC